GUCGAACGCUGGCGGCGUGCUUAACACAUGCAAGUCGAACGGAAAGGCCCUGCUUUUGUGGGGUGCUCGUGUGGCGAACGGGUGAGUAACACGUGAGUAACCUGCCCUUGACUUUGGGAUAACUUCAGGAAACUGGGGCUAAUACCGGAUAGGAGCUCCUGCUGCAUGGUGGGGGUUGGAAAGUUUCGGCGGUUGGGGAUGGACUCGCGGCUUAUCAGCUUGUUGGUGGGGUAGUGGAUUACCAAGGCUUUGACGGGUAGCCGGCCUGGGAGGGUGACCGGCCACAUGGGGACUGAGAUACGGCCAAGACUCCUACGGGAGGCAGCAGUGGGGAAUAUGGCACAAUGGUCGGAAGCCUGAUGCAACAACGCCGCGUGUGGGAUGACGGCCUUCGGGUUGUAAACCGCUUUCGCCUGAGACGAAGCGUUAGUGACGGUAAUGGGUGAAGAAGCACCGGCUAACUACGUG
rnacentral:rRNA from 1 species